rnacentral:rRNA from 1 species
CAUAUCAUAAGCGGAGGAAAGAACUAACUAGGAUUCCCUUAGUAACGGCGAGUGAACCGGGAUGAGCUCAAAUUUAAAAUCUGGCGUCUUUCAGGCGUCCGAGUUGUAAUCUAUAGAGGCGUUUUCCGCGCCGGACCGCGUCCAAGUCUCUUGGAAUAGAGUAUCAAAGAGGGUGACAAUCCCGUACUUGACGCGACAACCGGUGCUCUGUGAUACGUUCUCAAUGAGUCGAGUUGUUUGGGAAUGCAGCUCUAAAUGGGUGGUAAAUUCCAUCUAAGGCUAAAUAUUGGCGAGAGACCGAUAGCGAACAAGUACCGUGAGGGAAAGAUGAAAAGCACUUUGGAAAGAGAGUUAAACAGCACGUGAAAUUGUUAAAAGGGAAACGAUUGAAGUCAGUCGUGUGAAAGGUAUUCAGCCGUCUCUGGCGGUGUAUUUGCCUUUCACGGGUCAACAUCAGUUUGAUCCGGUAGAAAAAGGCGGGAGGAAGGUGGCACCCUCGGGUGUGUUAUAGCCUCCUGUCAUAUGUGCCGGACCAGACUGAGGAACGCAGCUUGCCGCAAGGCCGGGGUUCGCCCACGUACAAGCUUAGGAUGUUGACAUAAUGGCUUUAAACGACCCGUC